rnacentral:rRNA from 1 species
UAUGGUUUGGAAUAACACGAGGAAACUUGUGCUAAUACCAAAUAAGUCUUUACGGAGAAAGCUUUAUGCGCCAUUGGAUGAGCCUGCACUUGAUUAGUUUGUUGGUGGGGUAAUGGCCUACCAAGACAAUGAUCAAUAGCUGAUUUGAGAGGAUGAUCAGCCACAUUGGGACUGAGACACGGCCCAAACUCCUACGGGAGGCAGCAGUGGGGAAUCUUGCACAAUGGGGGAAACCCUGAUGCAGCGAUGCCGCGUGAGUGAAGAAGGCCUUUGGGUUGUAAAGCUCUUUCGUCGGGGAAGAAAAUGACUGUACCCGAAUAAGAAGG